AACGAACGCUGGCGGCGUGCCUAACACAUGCAAGUCGAGCGCGAAAGUCCCUUCGGGGGCGAGUAGAGCGGCGGACGGGUGAGUAAUACAUAGGUAAUCUACCUUCGAGCUUGGGAUAACCCCGCGAAAGUGGGGCUAAUACCGGAUAAGACCACGCAACCAUGUUGCGGGGUAAAAGGUGGCUUAUUUUUUAAAUGAGCUGUCACUUGAGGAUGAGCCUAUGGCCUAUCAGCUUGUUGGCGGGGUAAGAGCCCACCAAGGCUAUGACGGGUAGCUGGUCUGAGAGGACGACCAGCCACACUGGGACUGAGACACGGCCCAGACUCCUACGGGAGGCAGCAGUGGGGAAUAUUGGGCAAUGGGCGCAAGCCUGACCCAGCGACGCCGCGUGGGCGAUGAAGGCCUUCGGUUGGUAAGCCUGUCAUGCGGAAAGAACGACCCUCGUGACGCAUACUCACAGGGAGUGACGGUACCGCGACGGAGGAAGCGACCGGCGUAACUCCGUCGCCGACG
rnacentral:rRNA from 1 species